GAUGAACGCUGGCGGCGUGCUUAGCACACGCAAGUCGAACGAACCUUCGGGUUAGUGGCGGACGGGUGAGUAACGCGUGAGAAUCUGCCCUCAGGAGGGGGAUAACGGUUGGAAACGACCGCUAAUACCCCAUAUGCCGCGAGGUGAAAUGAAUUUCGCCUGAGGAUGAGCUCGCGUCUGAUUAGCUAGUUGGUGGGGUAAAGGCCUACCAAGGCAUCGAUCAGUAGCUGGUCUGAGAGGAUGAUCAGCCACACUGGGACUGAGACACGGCCCAGACUCCUACGGGAGGCAGCAGUGGGGAAUUUUCCGCAAUGGGCAAAAGCCUGACGGAGCAACGCCGCGUGAGGGAUGAAGGCCUCUGGGCUGUAAACCUCUUUUAUCAGGGAAGAAGAUCUGACGGUACUUGAUGAAUAAGCCACGGCUAAUUCCGUGCCAGCCGCCGCGGUAAG
rnacentral:rRNA from 1 species